GUGAGACACAGGCCAUAGCAACAGCUCUUGAGAAGAUUUGAGACACAUUGCUGAAUAUGAUGUUUAUGUAUUCAUGUUAGUGCCCACUAGCAACACAAGAAGUAAUUCAUAGGAGCUUCUAACAAAAGUGUUAAUGGUUUGAUGAUGCCAGCCUGCACGGCAUGCACGAUGCUCUUGAACCGUGGUUUCUCCUCGGGUCGUCUCCUGACCACGCCCA